rnacentral:rRNA from 1 species
AUUGAACGCUGGCGGCAGGCCUAACACAUGCAAGUCGAGCGGUAGAGCGAAGCUUGCUUCUCUUGAGAGCGGCGGACGGGUGAGUAAUGCCUAGGAAUCUGCCUGGUAGUGGGGGAUAACGUUCGGAAACGGACGCUAAUACCGCAUACGUCCUACGGGAGAAAGCAGGGGACCUUCGGGCCUUGCGCUAUCAGAUGAGCCUAGGUCGGAUUAGCUAGUUGGUGGGGUAAUGGCUCACCAAGGCGACGAUCCGUAACUGGUCUGAGAGGAUGAUCAGUCACACUGGAACUGAGACACGGUCCAGACUCCUACGGGAGGCAGCAGUGGGGAAUAUUGGACAAUGGGCGAAAGCCUGAUCCAGCCAUGCCGCGUGUGUGAAGAAGGUCUUCGGAUUGUAAAGCACUUUAAGUUGGGAGGAAGGGUUGUAGAUUAAUACUCUGCAAUUUUGACGUUACCGACAGAAUAAGCACCGGCUAACUCUGUG